GGGGAUGUGGCGGAAUGGCAUACGCAUGAGACUUAAAAUCUCAGGCCUCACAAGGGCGUGUGGGUUCAAGUCCCACCAUCCCCACCA
rnacentral:tRNA from 2 species